CGACUGAACACACCUUAACCAGGAAGAACACCUGACGCUCCUUUUGAAAAUACCUUUCUCUGUUACGCGGAAAAAACGAAUGAAAGCACCGGCUGAGCAGAGUAAAGGAGGAAGUUCAAGAGGAACCCUCUGCAAGAGCGGGACUGCCAGAGUAAAGCACUUUUCAAUACUCUUGCCAAGAAGCUCAGGCUUUUGGACAGACAUGCAGCACUGACGCUCAUACAGACGCAGAGACCUGACGGACGGAGUCCAGCUGGCGAGUCAUGGCGGCAGCAAGUGGAACAGAUGUGUGAGGGACUUUGAUCUAGGGAGGCAGAGAGUUUCCACUGAAAACCUUCAGCUGGACACACCAACCCACCAACAAAUGAAC